UGAUAUAGCUCAGUCGGUAGAGCAAUUCACUCGUAAUGAAUAGGUCGCCAGUUCGAUUCUGGCUAUCA
rnacentral:tRNA from 2 species